GAUGAACGCUGGCGGCGUGCCUAAUACAUGCAAGUCGAGCGAACGGACGAGAAGCUUGCUUCUCUGAUGUUAGCGGCGGACGGGUGAGUAACACGUGGAUAACCUACCUAUAAGACUGGGAUAACUUCGGGAAACCGUAGCUAAUACCGGAUAAUAUUUUGAACCGCAUGGUUCAAAAGUGAAAGACGGUCUUGCUGUCACUUAUAGAUGGAUCCGCGCUGCAUUAGCUAGUUGGUAAGGUAACGGCUUACCAAGGCAACGAUGCAUAGCCGACCUGAGAGGGUGAUCGGCCACACUAGAGCUGAGACACGGUCCAGACUCCUACGGGAGGCAGCAGUAGGGAAUCUUACGCAGUGGGCGAAAGCCUGACGGAGCAACGCCGCGUGAGUGAUGAAGGUCUUCGGAUCGUAAAACUCUGUUAUUAGGGAAGAACAUAUGUGUAAGUAACUGUGCACAUCUUGACGGUACCUAAUCAGAAAGCCACGGCUAACUACGUG
rnacentral:rRNA from 1 species